UCCCUAUGGGGUGCAGCAGGCGAGAAAACUUUGCAAUGUGCGAAAGCACGACAAGGUUAAUCCGAGUGGUUUCUGCUAAAGGAACCUUUUGUCAGUCCUAGAAACACUGAUGAAUAAGGGGUGGGCAAGUUCUGGUGUCAGCCGCCGCGGUAAAACCAGCACCUCAAGUGGUCAGGAUGAUUAUUGGGCCUAAAGCAUCCGUAGCCUGCUUUGUAAGUUUUCGGUUAAAUCCAUACGCUCAACGUAUGGGCUGCCGGGAAUACUGCAAAGCUAGGGAGUGGGAGAGGUAGACGGUACUCGGUAGGAAGGGGUAAAAUCCUUUGAUCUAUUGAUGACCACCUGUGGCGAAGGCGGUCUACCAGAACACGUCCGACGGUGAGGGAUGAAAGCUGGGGGAGCAAACCGGAUUAGAUACCCGGGUAGUCCCAGCUGUAAACGAUGCGGGCUAGGUGUUGGGGUGGCUACGUGCCACUUCGGUGCCGCAGGGAAGCCAUUAAGCCCGCCGCCUAGGGAGUACGGCCGCAAGGCUGAAACUUAAAGGAAUUGGCGGGGGAGCACCACAAGGCGUGAAGCUUGCGGUUCAAUUGGAUUCAACGCCGGAA
rnacentral:rRNA from 1 species